AGUGAACGCUGGCGGUAGGCCUAACACAUGCAAGUCGAACGGCAGCACAGUAAGAGCUUGCUCUUACGGGUGGCGAGUGGCGGACGGGUGAGGAAUACAUCGGAAUCUACUUUUUCGUGGGGGAUAACGUAGGGAAACUUACGCUAAUACCGCAUACGACCUACGGGUGAAAGCAGGGGAUCUUCGGACCUUGCGCGAUUGAAUGAGCCGAUGUCGGAUUAGCUAGUUGGCGGGGUAAAGGCCCACCAAGGCGACGAUCCGUAGCUGGUCUGAGAGGAUGAUCAGCCAAACUGGAACUUGGACACGGUCCCAACUCCUACGGGAGGCAGCAGUGGGGAAUAUUGGACAAUGGGCGGAAGCCUGAUCCAGCCAUACCGCGUGGGUGAAGAAGGCCUUCGGGUUGUAAAGCCCUUUUGUUGGGAAAGAAAAGCAGCAGGUUAAUACCCCGCUGUUCUGACGGUACCCAAAGAAUAAGCACCGGCUAACUUCGUG
rnacentral:rRNA from 1 species